rnacentral:rRNA from 1 species
GACGAACGCUGGCGGCGUGCUUAACACAUGCAAGUCGAACGGAAAGGCCCUGCUUUUGUGGGGUGCUCGAGUGGCGAACGGGUGAGUAACACGUGAGUAACCUGCCCUUGACUUUGGGAUAACUUCAGGAAACUGGGGCUAAUACCGGAUAGGAGCUCCUGAUGCAUGGUGGGGGUUGGAAAGUUUCGGCGGUUGGGGAUGGACUCGCGGCUUAUCAGCUUGUUGGUGGGGUAGUGGCUUACCAAGGCUUUGACGGGUAGCCGGCCUGAGAGGGUGACCGGCCACAUUGGGACUGAGAUACGGCCCAGACUCCUACGGGAGGCAGCAGUGGGGAAUAUUGCACAAUGGGCGGAAGCCUGAUGCAGCAACGCCGCGUGCGGGAUGACGGCCUUCGGGUUGUAAACCGCUUUCGCCUGUGACGAAGCGUGAGUGACGGUAAUGGGUAAAGAAGCACCGGCUAACUACGCG